rnacentral:rRNA from 1 species
GACGAACCGUGCGAACGUUGUUCGGAAUCACUGGGCUUAAAGGGCGCGUAGGCGGCUUGCCAAGUCGGGGGUGAAAUCCGGCAGCUUAACUGUCGAAGUGCCUUCGAUACUGGCAAGCUCGAGGGAGGUGAGGGGUCGUGUGGAACUUCUGGUGGAGCGGUGAAAUGCGUUGAUAUCAGAAGGAACGCCGGUGGCGAAAGCGACGGACUGGACCGUCUUCUGACGCGUGAG